rnacentral:lncRNA from 1 species
GAAUUGCUGGGUCACAAGAUAGGUUCAGCUUCAGGCUUUUAAAGGUUCCCAGGUGAUUUUUAAACCUACAGCCAGUGUUAAGAAACCACUGGAGGGACCGGGGAUUUAGCUCAGUGGUUCCGUACCUGCCUCGCAAGUGCAAGGUCCCGAGUUUGAUCCCAGGUGAGGCCAUGCAGCCCGUUCCCCAGGUGCGCCAAGGAAGUGACAAGACAGCUGUCCCAUGUGGCAGAGGCUGGCUCUGAGCCACACUGUGUCCUUCACAGGAGAUGUCAUAUCCUGCCACACAGCCCAGGAGCUGCACAUCAAGACCCUUCCUAAGGGCAAACUAGGGUCAUGGGAACAGAGUCAGGUUCAUCCUCAUGAACAGGCUGAAACUGGAGGACAAAAGCAGGGAAAGGUCAAUGAAAGCACAUUCUGGUGUCCUCCACAGCCCCGAGGAGGCCAGCGUCGACAGCAGUGCUGGCAAGGAUGUGGAUAUCAGGACCCUCAGACUUGGCUUGCAGGACAGUAAAAUGGUGCAGUUGCCUGGAAACCACUUUGAGGGCUCCUCACGCAGCUCAAGAGAGCCCUGCAGGACCCAGAAAUGCCAUCCUAGUUGUGCCUCCAAGAGGACUGAAAAUACUACACACAAAUCUCACAGCAACAUUAUUCAUGACCGUCAAAAAGUGGAAACAACCCAACACCCCGCAGCUUCUGAACAGGAAGCCCAGAUGCCACUACAUGCAUGAUCUCAGAAUCACAGUACACAUGGAAGGCAGUCACACAAGACCCCAGAGCACAUGGUUCUGGGGGAUGGAAUGUCCAGUCCAGGCAAAUCCACACAGACCGGAAGGGGCUCAGUAGUUCCUGGGGCCGGGGAAGGCUCAAUGACAAUAAGAG